rnacentral:misc_RNA from 1 species
UCCGGUUUGUCACCGGCAGUCUCGCAUGAGUCCCCGGCCGAACCGCUGGCAACAUGCGACGGGGGUUGCGCUCGUUGCGGGACUUAACCCAACAUCUCACGACACGAGCUGACGACAGCCAUGCACCACCUGUGAUCCUGCCCAAUAAAGGGAAACCGUGUUUCCACGGCGGUCAGGAACAUGUCAAACCCAGGUAAGGUUCUUCGCGUUGCGUCGAAUUAAACCACAUGCUCCGCUGCUUGUGCGGGUCCCCGUCAAUUCCUUUGAGUUUUAGCCUUGCGGCCGUACUCCCCAGGCGGUCAACUUCACGCGUUAGCUUCGUUACCAAGGAAUAACUUCCCCGACAACUAGUUGACAUCGUUUACGGCGUGGACUAC